rnacentral:rRNA from 1 species
UACGGGGGGGGCAAGCGUUGUUCGGAAUUACUGGGCGUAAAGGGCUCGUAGGCGGCCAACUAAGUCAGACGUGAAAUCCCUCGGCUUAACCGGGGAACUGCGUCUGAUACUGGAUGGCUUGAGUUUGGGAGAGGGAUGCGGAAUUCCAGGUGUAGCGGUGAAAUGCGUAGAUAUCGGGAGGAACACCAGAGGCGAAGGCGGGCUACUGGGCUGAUACUGACGCUGAUGCGCGAAAGCCAGGGGAGCAAACGGG